UAAAUUGGAACCUUUACUUAGAGGUUCCAGCAAAAAAGUGUUACAGAGUUCUGCCAUGAAUUCCAGUUCGGCAUCAUUUUCUGAUAGGCUAUUGGUGGGCUCACAGGACAGAUGUGCUUCCAUCACAACAUCAGCUAAAUCAGCUGAAGAAAAAUUGGAUGUAGAACUGACCAUAUCCAGUUUGCCUGGAGAAUCAAGAAAAAAGUGCAUUGAGAAUGUCGUAGAACUGACCACAUCCAGUUUGCCUGGAGAUGCAAGAAAAAAGUGCAUUGAGAAUGUUGUAGCAAUUGCUGACAGUCAUGUCAAGAGUCCUAUCAGUUGUAUUUCUACUGAGAGGAGAGGUCCACAUUAUAAGAGGAUGAG
rnacentral:lncRNA from 1 species